GAUGAACGCUGGCGGCGUGCCUAAUACAUGCAAGUCGAGCGAACAGAUGAGGAGCUUGCUCCUCUGACGUUAGCGGCGGACGGGUGAGUAACACGUGGAUAACCUACCUAUAAGACUGGGAUAACUUCGGGAAACCGGAGCUAAUACCGGAUAAUAUAUUGAACCGCAUGGUUCAACAGUGAAAGACGGUUUUGCUGUCACUUAUAGAUGGAUCCGCGCCGCAUUGGCUAGUUGGUAAGGUAACGGCUUACCAAGGCAACGAUGCGUAGCCGACCUGAGAGGGUGAUCGGCCACACUGGAACUGAGACACGGUCCAGACUCCUACGGGAGGCAGCAGUAGGGAAUCUUCCGCAAUGGGCGAAAGCCUGACGGAGCAACGCCGCGUGAGUGAUGAAGGUCUUCGGAUCGUAAAACUCUGUUAUUAGGGAAGAACAAAUGUGUAAGUAACUAUGCACGUCUUGACGGUACCUAAUCAGAAAGCCACGGCUAACUACGUG
rnacentral:rRNA from 1 species